UACGUAGGGGGCAAGCGUUGUCCGGAAUCAUUGGGCGUAAAGCGCGUGUAGGCGGCUUGGUAAGUCCGCUCUGAAAGCCCGGGGCUCAACCCCGGGAGGCGGGUGGAUACUGCUGGGCUCGAGUCCGGAAGAGGAGUGUGGAAUUCCUGGUGUAGCGGUGAAAUGCGCAGAUAUCAGGAAGAACACCCGUGGCGAAGGCGGCUCUCUGGGACGGUACUGACGCUGAGACGCGAAAGCGUGGGGAGCGAACAGG
rnacentral:rRNA from 1 species